AUUCACCGCUAGGGGAGCUUUUAAAAGCUGAGAGAGGCAUGAAGCCUUGACCCUUAUUACCUGAUCUAGAUAAUACUAGCGUAGGGAAGAGGUGUUUGAAAAUA
rnacentral:ncRNA from 2 species